UCCAGCUCCAGUAGCGUAUAUUAAAGUUGUUGCAGUUAGAACGCUCGUAGUCGGAUUUCGGGGCGAGCCUUCCGGUCUGCCGAUGGGUACGCACUGGUCGGCGCGUCCUUCCUUCCGGAGACCGUGCCUACUCUUAACUGAGCGGGGGCGGGAGACGGAACGUUUACUUUGAAAAAAUCAGAGUGUUUCAAGCAGGCAGCUCGCUCUUGCAUGGAUUAGCAUGGGAUAAUGAAAUAGGACUUUGGUGCUAUUUUGUUGGUUUCGAACACCGAAGUAAUGAUGAGAAGGGACAGUCAGGGGCACUCGUAUUCCGUUGAGAGAGGUGAAAUUCUCAGACCAGCGGAAGACGAACCACUGCGAAAGCAUUUGCCAGGGAUGUUUUCACUGAUCAAGAACGAAAGUUAGGGGAUCGAAGACGAUCAGAUACCGUCGUAGUCUUAACCAUAAACCAUGCCGACUAGGGAUUGGAGGAUGUUCACAUAUUGACUCCUUCAGCACCUUUCAGGAAACUAAAGUCUUUGGGUUCCGGGGGGAGUAUGGUCGCAAGGCUGAAACUUAAAGGAAUUGACGGAAGGGCACCACCAGGUGUGGAGCCUGCGGCUUAAUUUGACUCAACACGGGGAAACUUACCAGGUCCAGACAUUGUGAGGAUUGACAGAUUGAGAGCUCUUUCUUGAUUCGAUGGGUGGUGGUGCAUGGCCGUUCUUAGUUGGUGGAGUGAUUUGUCUGGUUAAUUCCGUUAACGAACGAGACCUUAGCCUGCUAAAUAGUGACGCAAACACUUCGUUUGUGGGCCACUUCUUAGAGGGACAACUUGUCUUCAACAAGUGGAAGUUUGAGGCAAUAAC
rnacentral:rRNA from 1 species